UCAGACAUUGUCUGGAUCCACUGCAGAUGGGCUAAAAAUACCAAAAUAUCAGCACUCCAGCCAGCGCUCCAAGCAGGGAUUCUAGCAAUUCCCAUCAAUGUAUCAGGGUCAAGCCUGGAGCCUAUCCCAGAGAACUCAGGGCGUGAGGUGGGGGACACGCUGGACAUCGCAGAGAAAAAUCGGAUUCACAUUCACACACCACGGACAAUUUAGAGAUGCCAAUCAGCCUACAAAGCAUGUUUUUGGGCUGGGGGAGGAACCCAGAGUGCCCAGAGGAAACUCCUAAAGCAUGGGGAGAAUAUGCAAACUGCAUACAGACAGGGA
ensembl:lncRNA